GACGAACGCUGGCGGCGUGCCUAAUACAUGCAAGUCGAGCGAGCGGCGGACGGGUGAGUAAUGUAUGGGGACUGCCCGAUAGAGGGGGAUAACUACUGGAAACGGUGGCUAAUACCGCAUACUAUCGGAUAACCCAUAUGGGAUUAGCUAGUGGGUGGGGUAAAGGCUAACCUAGGCGACGAUCGCUAGCUGGUCUGAGAGGAUGAUCAGCCACACGGGGACUGAGACACGGCCCAGACGCUUACGGAGGCAGCAGUGGGGAAUAUUGCACAAUGGGCGAAAGCCUGAUGCAGCCAUGCCGCGUGUAUGAAGAAGGCCUUAGGGUUGUAAAGUACGUUCAGCGGGGAGGCGUUACCCGCAGAAGAAGCACCGGCUAACUCCGUGCCAGCAGCCGCGGUAAUUC
rnacentral:rRNA from 1 species